AAGAAAAUGGCUUCCACCCGAGUCUGGGUUUAUCAGGGUUUGUGUUGGCUUCAGUGAAAGGCCUCUUAAUGGGAAACAGUUGUUUUUAUUGCCAUUAAGGGUCUCUUGUGUCACCCCCAUUGCAUACUUAGAAGUACAACAUGGACAAUGGAUUAAAACGGUGACUGGAGAAUGCAGCUAGCUUAUUUGAGGAGGUGGUGAUGGAUACGUCGUAAAGCACUCAGAAGACAACACAAUACGGAUAAGCUCAUCAAACCCCUUUGCUUUCGUCUUCAGUGUUGUGAGCCUCUUUAAAACUGGACAUCUACCCUACUGUAGAUGAGACUGCUUUGGUUUUACAGGAUUCAGAGAGGAACUGAAGAGAAGACACCAGAAUGUUCCAUACACCAUAACCCCCCCCCCCAACGCACGCACACCCACACCCACGCACACACACACACCCACACACACGUAUGCACGCACGCGCAC